rnacentral:rRNA from 1 species
UGCAGUCGAGGGGUACAGGNUCUUCGGACUGCUGACGACCGGCGCACGGGUGAGUAACGCGUAUACAAUCUGCCUAUUGCUAAGAGAUAGCCCAGAGAAAUUUGGAUUAAUAUUUUAUGGCAUUACGACUUGGCAUCGAGUUGUAAUUAAAGGUUACGGUAAUAGAUGAGUAUGCGUCCUAUUAGCUUGAUGGUAAGGUAACGGCUUACCAUGGCUACGAUAGGUAGGGGUCCUGAGAGGGAGAUCCCCCACACUGGUACUGAGACACGGACCAGACUCCUACGGGAGGCAGCAGUGAGGAAUAUUGGACAAUGGGAGCAAUCCUGAUCCAGCCAUGCCGCGUGCAGGAAGACUGCCCUAUGGGUUGUAAACUGCUUUUAUACAGGAAGAAAAAGCCCGACGUGUCGGGUGUUGACGGUACUGUAAGAAUAAGGAUCGGCUAACUCCGUGCCAGCAGCCGCGGUAAUACGGAGGAUCCAAGCGUUAUCCGGAAUCAUUGGGUUUAAAGGGUCCGUAGGCGGGACAAUAAGUCAGUGGUGAAAGUCUGCAGCUCAACUGUAGAAUUGCCAUUGAUACUGUUGUUCUUGAGUGCUUGUGAAGUGGUUAGAAUGAGUAGUGUAGCGGUGAAAUGCAUAGAUAUUACUCAGAAUACCGAUUGCGAAGGCAGAUCACUAACAAUUCACUGACGCUGAUGGACGAAAGCGUA